UACGAAGGGUGCAAGCGUUAAUCGGAAUUACUGGGCGUAAAGCGCACGUAGGUGGUUUUAUAAGUCGGAUGUGAAAGCCCCGGGCUUAACCUGGGAAUUGCAUCCGAGACUGUCUGACUCGAGUAUGCUAGAGGGAAGUGGAAUUCCAGGUGUAGCGGUGAAAUGCGUAGAUAUCUGGAGGAACACCGGUGGCGAAGGCGGCAUCCUGGACCAACACUGACGCUGAGUGAGCGAAAGCCAGGGGAGCAAACGGG
rnacentral:rRNA from 1 species